CGGUCCAGACUCCUACGGGAGGCAGCAGUAGGGAUUUUUCCCCAAUGGGCGAAAGCCUGACGGAGCAACGCCGCGUGAGUGAUGAAGGGUUUCGGUCGUAAAACUCUGUUAUUAGGGAAGAACAAUGUGUAAGUAACUGUGCACGUCUUGACGGUACCUAAUCAGAAAGCCACGGCUAACUACGUGCCAGCAGCCGCGGUAA
rnacentral:rRNA from 1 species